ACGCUGGCGGCGUGCCUAAUACAUGCAAGUCGAACGCACAGCGAAAGGUGCUUGCACCUUUCAAGUGAGUGGCGAACGGGUGAGUAACACGUGGACAACCUGCCUCAAGGCUGGGGAUAACAUUUGGAAACAGAUGCUAAUACCGAAUAAAACUUAGUGUCGCAUGACACAAAGUUAAAAGGCGCUUCGGCGUCACCUAGAGAUGGAUCCGCGGUGCAUUAGUUAGUUGGUGGGGUAAAGGCCUACCAAGACAAUGAUGCAUAGCCGAGUUGAGAGACUGAUCGGCCACAUUGGGACUGAGACACGGCCCAAACUCCUACGGGAGGCUGCAGUAGGGAAUCUUCCACAAUGGGCGAAAGCCUGAUGGAGCAACGCCGCGUGUGUGAUGAAGGCUUUCGGGUCGUAAAGCACUGUUGUAUGGGAAGAACAGCUAGAAUAGGAAAUGAUUUUAGUUUGACGGUACCAUACCAGAAAGGGACGGCUAAAUACGUGCCAGCAGCCGCGGUAAUACGUAUGUCCCGAGCGUUAUCCGGAUUUAUUGGGCGUAAAGCGAGCGCAGACGGUUUAUUAAGUCUGAUGUGAAAGCCCGGAGCUCAACUCCGGAAUGGCAUUGGAAACUGGUUAACUUUGAGUGCAGUAGAGGUAAGUGGAACUCCAUGUGUAGCGGUGGAAUGCGUAGAUAUAUGGAAGAACACCAGUGGCGAAGGCGGCUUACUGGACUGCAACUGACGUUGAGGCUCGAAAGUGUGGGGUAGCAAACAGGAUUAGAUACCCUGGUAGUCCACACCGUAAACGAUGAACACUAGGUGUUAGGAGGUUUCCGCCUCUUAGUGCCGAAGCUAACGCAUUAAGUGUUCCGCCUGGGGAGUACGACCGCAAGGUUGAAACUCAAAGGAAUUGACGGGGACCCGCACAAGCGGUGGAGCAUGUGGUUUAAUUCGAAGCAACGCGAAGAACCUUACCAGGUCUUGACAUCCUUUGAAGCUUUUAGAGAUAGAAGUGUUCUCUUCGGAGACAAAGUGACAGGUGGUGCAUGGUCGUCGUCAGCUCGUGUCGUGAGAUGUUGGGUUAAGUCCCGCAACGAGCGCAACCCUUAUUGUUAGUUGCCAGCAUUCAGAUGGGCACUCUAGCGAGACUGCCGGUGACAAACCGGAGGAAGGCGGGGACGACGUCAGAUCAUCAUGCCCCUUAUGACCUGGGCUACACACGUGCUACAAUGGCGUAUACAACGAGUUGCCAACCCGCGAGGGUGAGCUAAUCUCUUAAAGUACGUCUCAGUUCGGAUUGUAGUCUGCAACUCGACUACAUGAAGUCGGAAUCGCUAGUAAUCGCGGAUCAGCACGCCGCGGUGAAUACGUUCCCGGGUCUUGUACACACCGCCCGUCACACCAUGGGAGUUUGUAAUGCCCAAAGCCGGUGGCCUAACCUUUUAGGAAGGAGCCGUCUAAGGCAGGACAGAUGACUGGGGUGAAGUCG
rnacentral:rRNA from 1 species